rnacentral:rRNA from 1 species
GGGGAAUUGUUCGCAAUGGGCGCAAGCCUGACGACGCAACGCCGCGUGGAGGACGAAGAUCUUCGGGUCGUAAACUCCUUUCGAUCGGGAAGAACGCCUUUGGAGUGAAUAGCUCCGGAGGGUGACGGUACCGGGUGAGGAAGCCCCGGCUAACUCUGUGCCAGCAGCCGCGGUAAUACAGAGGGGGCAAGCGUUGUUCGGAAUUACUGGGCGUAAAGGGCGCGUAGGCGGCCUUCUAAGUCGAACGUGAAAUCCCCGGGCUCAACCCGGGAACUGCGUCCGAUACUGGAAGGCUUGAAUCCGGGAGAGGGAUGCGGAAUUCCAGGUGUAGCGGUGAAAUGCGUAGAUAUCUGGAGGAACACCGGUGGCGAAGGCGGCAUCCUGGACCGGCAUUGACGCUGAGGCGCGAAAGCCAGGGGAGCAAAC